AUGGCAGCCACCACAGGCUCGGGUAAAAAUCCCUCGAAAUUUCCGACUGUUGGAAGGGCUGGAAGAAGGCCAGAAAGGAGUAGGCGACAGCACAGUUAGCUGGGGUCUGGAGGACGAUGAGGACAUGACACUUACAAGAUAGACAGGCAUGAUCAUUGGGCCUCCACGAACAAUAUAUGAAAACCGAAUAUACAGCCUUAAAAUAGAAUGUGGGCCUAAGUACCCAGAAGCACCCCCAUCUGUAAGAUUUGUAACAAGAGUGAAUUGAGUGGCAUGAGCAGUUUGAAUGGAGUGUGGAUAUGAGAGCCACAGCAGUGCUAGCCAAGUGGCAGAACUCCCACAGCAUCAAAGUCAUCCUGCAGGAACUGCAGUGCCUGAUGAUGUCAAAAGAGAACAUGAAGCUGACACACCCGCCAGAAGGACAGUGUUACAGCAAUUAGUCACCAAGGCCCUGGCCUCCCCUCCCCAUCCAACCCAAGUCUUCAUUUUCCACAGUAGUGAAUUUUCUAGAUACAUCUGUAGACCUCAAAGUACUGGAGAAGAAGCCCCACUCAGACUUCAUCCUGAGACACUGUUCUCAUACUAACUUCUUGUCCAUUUGAAAUACCUAAGUUGUGCUUGUGUAACAUCAUCUGUCGAGUGUAACCGCUGUCUGCCUGGUUGAACUUCUGGGAUUAAGAAGGUGUUGAAAUCGGUUUCCUGUGGGAGCGGUGGACACAGCUAACACAACUGUGAAUAGA